UAAUACGAAGGCCCCAAGCGUUAUCCGGAAUUACUGGGCGUAAAGCGUCUGUAGGUGGUCUGGAAAGUCUCAAGUGAAAGGUCAGGGCUCAACCCUGUACUUGCUUGGGAAACUAUCAGACUUGAGUGCGGGAGAGGCAAGCAGAACUGUAUGAGUAGGGGUGCAAUCCGUUGAUACAUACAAGAAUACCAAAAGCGAAGGCAGCUUGCUGGAACGCUACUGACACUGAGAGACGAAAGCGUGGGGAGCAAAAGGGAUUAGAUACCCCUGUAGUCCACGCCCUAAACGAUGGAUGCUAAGUGUCGGGCUUUGCCCGGUGCUUCAAGCUAACGCAUUAAGCAUCCCGCCUGAGGAGUACGGCCGCAAGGUUAAAACUUAAAUGAAUUGACGG
rnacentral:rRNA from 1 species